UGCCCUAUAGUGUAAUCAGGUAGCACAUCAGAUUUUGAUUCUGAGCGUCUAGGUUCAAAUCCUAGUGGGGCAG
rnacentral:tRNA from 1 species